rnacentral:rRNA from 1 species
ACCCGCUGAACUUAAGCAUAUCAAUAAGCGGAGGAAAAGAAACCAACAGGGAUUGCCUCAGUAACGGCGAGUGAAGCGGCAAGUGCUCAAAUUUUAAAUCUGGCGUUUCCGACGUCCCGAGUUGUAAUUUGGAGAGGCAUCUUCGGGGACGGUGUCAGACUAUGUUCCUUGGAACAGGACGUCAUAGAGGGUGAGAAUCCCGUGUCUGCCUGGCUGUCUGAUCCCUUGUGAAGUGCCUUCUACGAGUCGAGUUGUUUGGGAAUGCAGCUCCAAGUGGGUGGUAAAUUUCAUCUAAAGCUAAAUACGGGCGAGAGACCGAUAGCGCACAAGUAGAGUGAUCGAAAGAUGAAAAGCACUUUGAAAAUAGAGUUAAAAAGUACGUGAAAUUGUUGAAAGGGAAGCGCUUGAGACCAGACUCAGCCCCUAGCAAACAGCUUUCCCUAUUUCAGGGGAGGCGCACUUGCAUUGGGGUUGGGCCAGCGUCGGUUCGGGUGGUGGGACAAAGGUGUCGGGAAUGUGGCUCCUUUCGAGGAGUGUUAUAGCCCAGCAUGCAAUGCCACCUACCCGGACUGAGGACCGCGCCUCGGCGAGGAUGCUGGCACAAUGGUCUUCAGCGACCCGUCUUGAAACACGG